rnacentral:tRNA from 1 species
UACAGUGGGAGUAGUUUAUAUAAAACACUAGGUUGUGACCCUAGUAAAAAGAAACUGACUUUCUUCACCCACC